rnacentral:tRNA from 1 species
GGCCUGUUUAGCUCAGUCAGGAGAGCACUCGCCCUGCAAUUGAGGUGUCCCGGGUUCGACUCCCGGACUGGCUG